rnacentral:rRNA from 1 species
GACGAACGCUGGCGGCGCGCCUAACACAUGCAAGUCGAACGGAGUUAUUUUCUUCACUCCGAGCUUUUUGCCGGUUAGCCGGAGCGGCAAUCGGUUUUGCCCAGUAUAAAAAGCAAAACCAAUUUAGGCUCAUAAAGUAAGACUAACACAGAGGGCAGAGAGUUGGGAGUGAAGAAAAUAACUUAGUGGCGAACGGGUGAGUAACGCGUGAGUAACCUGCCCUGGAGUGGGGGACAACAGUUGGAAACGACUGCUAAUACCGCAUAAGCCCACGGCCCGGCAUCGGGCUGCGGGAAAAGGAUUUAUUCGCUUCAGGAUGGACUCGCGUCCAAUUAGCUGGUUGGUGAGGUAACGGCCCACCAAGGCGACGAUUGGGUAGCCGGACUGAGAGGUUGAACGGCCACAUUGGGACUGAGACACGGCCCAGACUCCUACGGGAGGCAGCAGUGGGGGAUAUUGCACAAUGGGGGAAAGCCUGACGGAGCAACGCCGCGUGAGUGAUGACGGCCU